rnacentral:snRNA from 15 species
UGACCCAACGAGCGCGGGGUUCAGGGUGAUCAAGAAUGCUCUGACCCCGGAAGGAGGCUCACCACUGCAUCUCAAUGGGUUGAAACUCGCGACGGAUCCUAAUCGGGUGCGCUUGGGCGUGUAGUUUUUGUCAGUGUGGAGGCCUCACGGUCCUCCCUU